rnacentral:rRNA from 1 species
AUUGAACGCUGGCGGCAUGCUUUACACAUGCAAGUCGAACGGCAGCGGAGAGUGCUUGCACUCUGCCGGCGAGUGGCGAACGGGUGAGUAACAUAUUGGAACGUACCGAGUAAAGGGGGAUAACUAUCCGAAAGGAUAGCUAAUACCGCAUACGCUUUGAGAAGGAAAGUGGGGGAUCUUCGGACCUCACGUUAUUCGAGCGGCCAAUAUCUGAUUAGCUAGUUGGUGGGGUAAAGGCCUACCAAGGCGACGAUCAGUAGCGGGUCUGAGAGGACGAUCCGCCACACUGGGACUGAGACACGGCCCAGACUCCUACGGGAGGCAGCAGUGGGGAAUUUUGGACAAUGGGCGCAAGCCUGAUCCAGCCAUGCCGCGUGUCUGAAGAAGGCCUUCGGGUUGUAAAGGACUUUUGUUAGGGAAGAAAAGAAAUGGGUUAAUACCCCAUUUUGCUGACG